AGAUGCCCACCCAUCAUGAAAAAGCCAAAAUCAGUGUCAAAGAGAGUGUGUGGACUGUGGAUACAUAUAUUACACAAAUGUAAUGAUGGAAACGCAUAGGAGAGAGAGAGAAGAGUAAAUGGUGAUUUAAGAGCAGAAGUGGUUGUCGUUUCCUUUACAGGAAAAGGAACGACAUGAAUUUCAGUGCCAAAAAGAUUGAAAUGGUGGUUAGGAGUCAGGCUUCAGUCUCUCUCACCUGACUCUUCACUCACUUCCAUGAUUUCCUUCCUUCUCUCCUUUUUCACUUUUCUUACUCCAUCCUAUUCCUUCUUUAAAGCCACACACUCUCUCUUUCUCAUCUCACCUCAAUACGU